AAUAUCAAACUCAACCUAUCUUCAUUUUCCAAGUUUCAUUUUCAAGAAACCCUCGAAUUUAGACCUCCAGCAGCUUCGAGCUCCGACGAAACUCCCAUAACCAGAAAAAGAGAGGAGGUGAGAGAUGGGGGUGGUGAUCAUCGACGGCUCGACGGUGCGGCCUUCGUCGGCGACGAGGAGCAGUUCAAGAAGAGCGUGGACGAGCGGUUCGCCGCCCUGGACCUGAACCGGGACGGCGUCCUCUCCCGGUCGGAGCUCCGCAAGGCCUUCGAGUCGAUGCGCCUCAUCGAGACGCACUUCGGGGUGGACGUCGCCACCCCGCCGCAGGAGCUCACCCGCCUCUACGACUCCAUCUUCGAGCGCUUCGACGGCGACGGCAGCGGCACCGUCGACCUCGAGGAGUUCCGGUCGGAGAUGCGGAAGAUCAUGCUCGCCAUCGCCGACGGCCUCGGGUCGUGCCCCAUCCAGAUGGCGCUCGAGGACGACAACUCCAGCCUCCUCAAGCAAGCCGCGGACCUCGAGGCCGCAAAGCUCGGCGGCGGCGGCGGCGGCGGCGGCGAGGCCAAGUCGUGAGGCUCCGAUCAGGCCGGUGGAUCGGUGAUCGGUGAGUAAUGAAUAAGAUCCGAGAUGUGUAAUUGCGUAACCCAGUUGUUUGCUUCUCUCUGCAGUUUGAACGAAUUGGUUACGAUAUGAGUCGGGUCGUGACCGCAUAUUCUCGUGAAGCAUAAAUCUUUGCCAGAUUUUACAUGACAUGAAAAAAAUAAAAGUUCACAAAAAAAAAAAAUUGUAGCUCGGAGUAUGGAGGCAUUGAUAGCUGUGUUUUGUCGGUUCGAUUCAUUAAAUUAUCUGAAUUUUCGAGGAGAAAGUUGCUCGAUUAUUUUAUUGUUGUGUUAAUUUGUGAUACACAAGGUUUGCCAUUCGAAUCAUAGUGCUACUUUGUUUAUCUAA